AUGCUCGCUUCAGCACCACAUAUAGUAAAAUUGGAACAAUACAGAGAACAUUAGCAUGGCCCCUAACAACAACAACAACAACAAACAUUUAGAAGUCUAGGAGAAGUUU